rnacentral:misc_RNA from 1 species
UACGAAGGCCUCAAGCGUUAUCCGGAUUUAUUGGGCGUAAAGAGUUCAACGGUGGUUUGGUACGUUCCUGGUCAAAUUGCAUCGCUCAACGGUGCAACUGCUGGGAAAACGGCCUUACUCGAGCAUGGGAGAGGCAGACGGAAUUGUCGGUGUAGUAGUAAAAUGCGCUAAUAUCGACAAGAACACCAAUAGCGAAAGCAGUCUGCUGGAACAUUGCUGACACUUCACGAACGAAAGCGUGGGGAGCGAUACGG